UGCUCCGAAAAGGGUUAAAAAACCCAAUUCGGCGAGCCUCCGGCCACUGGUUGCGACGAAAACACGGCGGACGGACGGCGGCGCAAGGGGUUGGGACAAAACCCUAACAGAGGGCAUUUGAUUUUUUUUAUUUUUAUUUUUUUUCUUUCACUCGGUUUUCAAAUGAUUUUAGAGGAAGGAAAUUGUUUUAAAUAAUAGAGCAAAACGCGCCGUUUUGUCCAGGCCUUGACCUGCGCAGUGACCCGACCCGAAGGGAGGAUCCGCGCGUUUGGCUUUAAAGGUCUAAUUGCGCAUUUGGCCCCUGUUUUUUGUGAUUCGCUUCAGUCAAACCGAUUUUGUUUUUUUGCAAAUUGAGUCGCAUUUUUUUUUGUGUGUUCCAAUUUAACCCAUUGAUGAGCAGCGUUUUGGGAAGGUGGGAAUAAUUUCCCUUUUGGUCCUCCACUGUUAUGCGCGCAUUUAAGAUGGUCCUAUUUUUUUAAUUUCUUUUAAAUUUGCCCCCCUUUUCCGUUUUAAUUCAAUUUGGAUCAUUUUUUUCAAUUAUUUUAUUAUUUUUAUUAUUA
rnacentral:lncRNA from 1 species